rnacentral:rRNA from 1 species
CUACGUAGGGGGCGAGCGUUGUCCGGAAUGAUUGGGCGUAAAGGGCGCGUAGGCGGCGCGGUAAGUCUGGAGUGAAAGUCCUGCUUUCAAGGUGGGAAUUGCUUUGGAUACUGCCGCGCUUGAGUGCAGGAGAGGUUAUCGGAAUUCCCGGUGUAGCGGUGAAAUGCGUAGAGAUCGGGAGGAACACCAGUGGCGAAGGCGGGUAACUGGACUGCAACUGACGCUGAGGUGCGAAAGUGUGGGGAGCAAACAGGAUUAGAUACCCUGGUAGUCCACACUGUAAACGAUGAAUGCUAGGUGUAAGAGGUAUCGACCCCUUUUGUGCCGGAGUCAACACAAUAAGCAUUCCGCCUGGGGAGUACGGCCGCAAGGUUGGAACUCAAAUGAAUUGACGGG